CCUACGGGGGGCUGCAGUGGGGAAUAUUGCACAAUGGGCGCAAGUCUGACGGAGCAACGCCGCGUGAGCGAAGAAGGUCUUCGGAUCGUAAAGCUCUGUUGUCGGGGAAGAACAAGUACGGUAGGAAAUGGCCGUACCUUGACGGUACCCGACGAGAAAGCUACGGCUAACUACGUGCCAGCAGCCGCGGUAAUACGUAGGUGGAAAGCGUUGCCCGGAAUUUUUGGGCGUAAAGCUCGCGCAGGCGGGUCUGUUAGUCUGAUGUGAAAUCUUGCGGCUUGACCGAAAGCGGUCGUUGGAAACCGUGUGGCAUGCGUGCACAACUGGAAGGCGGGAUUCCACGUGUAGAGGUGAACUGCGUAGAGAUGUGGAGGAACAGCAGUGGCGAAGGCGGCUUUCAGUUUUCUAACUGACGCUGACGCGCGAAGGCGUAGGGAGAAAAAAGGCUUGGAUACCCAUGUAGUC
rnacentral:rRNA from 1 species